CGUUUGGCUAUUCGAAGGCACAUUAAUCUUCUACGUAGAUAUUUGUGUUCAAAAUAUAGCCUAUAAUAAUAUUCUCCUUUGACGGUCGCUGAUGAGCGAUUGAAAUGCUCUUUCAGCACUACCCAGAGAGAAGACAUUU